AUUGAACGCUGGCGGCAGGCCUAACACAUGCAAGUCGAGCGGAUGAAGGGAGCUUGCUCCUGGAUUCAGCGGCGGACGGGUGAGUAAUGCCUAGGAAUCUGCCUGGUAGUGGGGGAUAACGUCCGGAAACGGGCGCUAAUACCGCAUACGUUCUGAGGGAGAAAGUGGGGGAUCUUCGGACCUCACGCUAUCAGAUGAGCCGAGGUCGGAUUAGCUAGUUGGUGGGGUAAAGGCCUACCAAGGCGACGAUCCGUAACUGGUCUGAGAGGAUGAUCAGUCAAACUGGAACUGAGACACGGUCCAGACUCCUACGGGAGGCAGCAGUGGGGAAUAUUGGACAAAGGGCGAAAGCCUGAUCCAGCCAUGCCGCGUGUGGGAAGAAGGUCUUCGGAUUGUAAAGCACUUUAAGUUGGGAGGAAGGGCAGUAAGUUAAUACCUUGCUGUUGUGACGUUACCAACAGAAUAAGCACCGGCUAACUUCGUG
rnacentral:rRNA from 1 species